AUGUUGUAUGAAAGGAGAGAAGGUUAGCACUCCCCUCUAAAGGAUGGAAGAGGCCUUCAUGCCUAACAACAUGCAUACGGUUAAGGCACUACCAUGUACAGAUUGUGGCAUCUAACUGCUGUUUUUA